rnacentral:lncRNA from 1 species
AAUAUGAUUUUUGACAAGUUAGGGUGUUGCAGAGCAGAUUUACCCCCAGGGGAUGCUUCAGAUUAGAUGUUCCGGGAUUUACUCCUUUUGUCGUUUUGGCGCUUUCUGACAAAAAGGGGGAGAUGAAUAUAUGAUGAUGGAUGGCUCAAUGAUGAUGAAGAGUUUAGUUUAGAUUUACUUUGCAUAAGUUGUGUAAAUUUAAUUUAGAUGUUUGCUUAGGUGCUCAAACAUUAGGUGCUUGAUUAUGAACUGACUUGGUGACGUGGUACUAUUUUGAGGUUUUGAUGUUUAUAUUUGAUCUUGAUAAGUAUACUUGAAUCUUGAUUUUCGUUUUAAGAAUGUUUUUGUUGGAAUAUUUCAAGACUUCAAGACUCCAUGUCUAAAUCAUAGAGUCUGUAUUAAGGUUGUAAAAGUGUAAUUUUCAUUUAUUGGAUCGAUCAUGCAGGAGAUUAUCGUUUGGUGAUUACGAUGAUCUUCUUUUUAUUAUUUAUGAGUUGUGUACGAACUUUGUAAUAUAUUUUGUCACGAAACCGCCAAAGGGGAAGAUUGUUAAGAAUUUUAUAGGUUGGCGGAUUUCGUAAUGUUGAAUAGAGUCUUGAAAGAGUUGAUUACGGAAGAUUAAAGAAAAGAUCUAAAUUGAAGAAAAAAGACUCACUCGUAAAGUUCGGCACCUAAGGUAUGAGGAAAAGAUCAUUU